rnacentral:rRNA from 1 species
UACAGAGGGUGCGAGCGUUGUUCGGAAUUAUUGGGCGUAAAGGGCGCGUAGGCGGUGCGGUAAGUCACCUGUGAAAUCUCCUGGCUCAACUGGGAGCUUGCAGGCGAAACUGCCGUGCUGGAGUGUGGGAGAGGUGCGUGGAAUUCCCGGUGUAGCGGUGAAAUGCGUAGAUAUCGGGGAGGAACACCUGUGGCGAAAGCGGCGCACUGGACCACAACUGACGCUGAGGCGCGAAAGCGUGGGGAGCAAACGGG